rnacentral:rRNA from 1 species
AUUGAACGCUGGCGGCGUGCCUAAUACAUGCUAGUCGAUGGCAGUGGCGCACGUGUGUUAAAUAUAUAUCUAAUCUGCCCCUUCCUUGAGGACACCCGUUAGAAAUCACUUCUAAUACUCCAUAGGAAGGGAUGAGACUAUAUCGUAUCAGCUAGUCGGGGGGGUAACGGCCUACCGAGGCUAUGACUCGUAACUGGUCUGAGAGGAUGAUCAGUCAAAUUGGAACGUAGACACGGUCCAAAGUCCUACGGGGGGGAGAAGUAGGGAAUAUUGCGCAAUGGGGGAAGCCCUGACGCAGAAACGCCGCGAGGAGGAUGACACUUUUAGGAGCGUAAACACCUUUUGUUAGGGAAGGGGUACCAACCGAAAAAGAAACGGCUAACUCCGUGCCAGCCGCCGCGGUAAUAC